rnacentral:rRNA from 1 species
UCGAGAAUCUUCCGCAAUGGACGAAAGUCUGACGGAGCGACGCCGCGUGCGGGAUGAAGGCCCUUGGGUUGUAAACCGCUGUCAGAGGGGAUGAAAUCAUGGUUGGCUAUCCUUCCAUGUUGACAGAGCCUCAGAGGAAGCACGGGCUAAGUACGUGCCAGCAGCCGCGGUAACACGUACUGUGCAAACGUUAUUCGGAAUCACUGGGCUUAAAGGGUACGUAGGCGGUUUAUCAAGUCAGGUGUGAAAUGCCUGAGCUCAACUGAGGCACUGCGCUUGAAACUGAUUGACUAGAGUAUUCCAGGGGUAUGCGGAACUUAUGGUGGAGCGGUGAAAUGCGUUGAUAUCAUGAGGAACACCGGAGGCGAAGGCGGCAUACUGGGGGAUAACUGACGCUGAGGUACGAAAGCCAGGGUAGCGAACGGGAUUAGAUACCCCCGUAGUCC